rnacentral:rRNA from 1 species
GAAAGUAAGUAAGGGCGUAUGGGGGAUGCCUAGGCUCUUGGAGGCUAAGAAGGACGUGGUAAGCUGCGAAAAGCUGCGGGGAUUUGCAAACGAGACUCGAUCCGCAGAUAUCCGAAUGGGACAACCCGGCAGGUAGAAGACCUGUCACACCGCGAGGUGAGCUAACCCUCUGAACUGAAACAUCUAAGUAGGAGGAGGAAAAGAAAGAAACAUCGAUUUCCAAAGUAGCGGCGAGCGAAAUGGAAGAAGCCCAAACCGAUAUUGUUACGGCAAUAUCGGGGUUGUAGGACUGCAAUAUUCAAUUAACAAUGAACUGGAAUGGUCUGGAAAGUCCAUCCAUAGAGAGUGAAAGGCUCGUACAGGUAAGUUUGUUAUGCGAAAGCAGUAUCCUGAGUAUGGCGGGACACGAGGAAUCCUGUCAGAAUCAGCCGGGACCACCCGGUAAGGCUAAAUACUCCCAAGAGACCGAUAGUGGACCAGUACUGUGAAGGAAAGGUGAAAAGAACCCCGAACAGGGGAGUGAAAUAGAACCUGAAACCAUACGCUUACAACCGGUCGGAGCAGCUUCGUGCUGUGACGGCGUGCCUAUUGAAUAAUGAGCCUACGAGUUACUAAUCACUAGCGAGGUUAAGUGCAAGGAUGCACGGAGCCGAAGCGAAAGCGAGUCUGAACAGGGCGUUUAGUUAGUGGUUGUAGACGCGAAACCUUGCGAUCUACCCUUGAGCAGGUUGAAGGUUGGGUAAAACCAACUGGAGGACCGAACGAAUAAGCGUUGAAAAGCUUCUCGAUGACUUGAGGGUAGGGGUGAAAGGCUAAUCAAGCUGGGAAAUAGCUCGUACUCCCCGAAAUGCCUUUUGGGGCAGCGUUGUAAUAAAGAGUCUACUGGAGGUAGAGCUACUGAUUGGAUGCGGGGGCUUCACCGCCUACCAAAUCCUGACAAACUCCGAAUGCCAGUAGUAUGAUUUACAGCAGUGAGCGACCGGGUGCUAAUGUCCGGUUACGAGAGUGGAACAACACAGACCAGCAACUAAGGUCCCGAAGAGUAUACUAAGUUGAUCUAACGAUGUUUUGCUGCAGAGACAGCUAGGAUGUUAGCUUGGAAGCAGCUAUUCAUUCAAAGAGUGCGUAACAGCUCACUAGUCGAGCGACAGAGCGUGGAUAAUAAACGGGCAUCAAGCAUAUCACCGAAGUUCUGGGCGCGAGAGCGCGGUAGGGGAGCAUUCCAUUCAGCGUCGAAGCAGUUUCGUGAGGAAUUGUGGAGCGUAUGGAAAAGCAAAUGUAGGCAUGAGUAACGAUAAUGCGGGAGAGUAACCCGCACACCGCAAGACCAAGGUUUCCUGAUCAACGCUAAUCGGAUCAGGGUUAGUCGGGUCCUAAGGGUAAGCCGAACGGCGAUCUCGAUGGAUAAUCGGUUAAUAUUCCGAUACUAACAUAUACCUCGAUGGAGAGACGAAGGAACGUAAGUGCCGCCACCUGACGGAAUAGGUGGUUAAAGGGCGUAGGUAUAGGGGCAGAUUAAGAGUUAGUCCUUGCUGAAACCUGACAGUACAGAGAGCCUACGGGCAAUUUGAUAGAGCACCCAAGUCGACUUCCGAGAAAAUCUUCUAAGUUAUAGUAUAUGUUACCCGUACCGUAAACCGACACAGGUGGUCGAGGAGAGUAUCCUAAGGUGCUCGAGUGAAUCACGGUUAAGGAACUAGGCAAAUUAACCCCGUAACUUCGGGAAAAGGGGUCCCUACGCGAGUAGGGCGCAGCGAAGAGGUCCAGGCGACUGUUUAUCAAAAACACAGGGCUCUGCAAAUUCGAAAGAAGACGUAUAGGGCCUGACACCUGCCCGGUGCUGGAAGGUUAAGAGGGGAUGUCAUCGCAAGAGAAGCAUUGAAUCGAAGCCCCAGUAAACGGCGGCCGUAACUAUAACGGUCCUAAGGUAGCGAAAUUCCUUGUCGGGUAAGUUCCGACCCGCACGAAUGGCGUAACGACUUGUGAGCUGUCUCAACAGGAGGCCCGGUGAAAUUGAAGUAUGUGUGAAGAUGCACAUUACCCGCGACUGGACGGAAAGACCCCGUAGAGCUUUACUGUAACCUGACAUUGGAUCUUGAUAACGGAUGCACAGGAUAGGUGGGACGCUGGGAGACGAGGACUUUGGUUUUCGUGGAGCGGCCGUUGGGAUACCACUCUUCUGUUAUUGAGAUUCUAACCUCAAGCCGUAAGCCGGAUGAGAGACAGUGUCAGGCGGACAGUUUGACUGGGGCGGUCGCCUCCGAAAGAGUAACGGAGGCGCCCAAAGGUACCCUCAGAAUGGAUGGAAACCAUUCGAAGAGAGCAAAGUCAGAAGGGUGCUUGACUGCGAGACCAACAAGUCGAGCAGGUACGAAAGUAGGGCUUAGUGAUCCGGCGGUAAGAGAGUGGAAUUGCCGUCGCUCAACGGAUAAAAGCUACCUCGGGGAUAACAGGCUGAUCUCCCCCAAGAGUUCACAUCGACGGGGAGGUUUGGCACCUCGAUGUCGGCUCGUCGCAUCCUGGGGCUGAAGCAGGUCCCAAGGGUUUGGCUGUUCGCCAAUUAAAGCGGCACGCGAGCUGGGUUCAGAACGUCGUGAGACAGUUCGGUCCCUAUCUGUUGCGGGCGUAAGAGAUUUGAAGGGAGCUGUCCUUAGUACGAGAGGACCGGGAUGGACGUACCUCUGGUGCACCAGUUGUCCUGCCAAGGGCAUAGCUGGGUAGCUAUGUACGGACGAGAUAAACGCUGAAAGCAUCUAAGCGUGAAACUCCCCCUAAGAUGAGAUCUCUCAUCCAUUAUGGAGUAAGGGCCCAGAAAGACGAUCUGGUUGAUAGGCCGGAGGUGGAAGUGCAGUAAUGUAUGGAGCUGACCGGUACUAAUAGCCCGAGGGCUUGACCUA